rnacentral:rRNA from 1 species
UACGUAGGGUGCAAGCGUUGUCCGGAUUUAUUGGGCGUAAAAGAGCUCGUAGGCGGUUUGGCAAGUCGGGUGUGAAAACUUCAGGCUCAACCUGGAGAUGCCACCCGAGACUGCUAUGACUGGAGUCUGGUAGGGGAGCACGGAAUUCCUGGUGUAGCGGUGAAAAUGCGCAGAUAUCAGGAGGAACACCGGUGGCGAAGGCGGUGCUCUGGGCCAGUACUGACGCUGAGGCAACGAAGGCCCAGGGGGAGCAAAACGGGG